rnacentral:sRNA from 1 species
GUCAGGCCACCUGAUAUUAGGACGCUAGGGUUUGGGGAGAUGAACGAAUGCUGCCAUUUCGGGCGGCUUCUUGACCUUUCUUUCCUACAUUGCUUGGCAUGGCGGACCUGUGUAAGCAGUUGGCUGUCCUCUUAGAUUGGGUAAGGGAAAUCAGAUAAUACACCGCCUGGCCUGUUUCUUUCACCGAGCCCUGAGAGGCUCGCAGAGGAUCAGUGGCGAGAGGAACCGAUAUUACAGGACCCCUCCGUGUGCCGUUCUGUAGACCUACUCCACUUUUAAUUUACUUUUCGAGAUGGUUUUGCUAUUUUACUGAGUAAAUUCAGACUCAAGAGAUCCAGCUCGUCCGAGAGCAUAAGGUUAGUGAUGAUGAAAUCUGAUUUGUACUCAAGUUGGCAUGUGACCUUGAACUGCUUUAGGGAUGGUCAAGUGAGCAUGAGAGGUGCCAGGCUGCACUGAGGAAGAUACGGUCCUGGCUUUUGGACUCCUGCUCACAAGCCUUGGUUUCUGUGUUAACUGCCUGCCUCUCUGCCCGUUCGGUUCACUUCAGCACUGGUUAGGCCAAACGCUAGCCUGCAAAGGUGGAAGAAGUGCUUCUCUGUGCAGCUGUUCAGUUGCUUGAAAUAAUCCAGUAUUGUGAGGAAAAACAGAAACGAUAACAAGUGUCCGAGCAGAGGAAACCAGAAACCCCAGACAUCACUGACAGAGUGCUGUAACUGGUAGAGAGAGCCCUGAGGAAGGCAGGCAGGCUGUCCUUCAAGAAGCUGAAGAGUCAGGAGUGACUCAGCACCUCCUCUGCUGGGAACACAGCCAAGAGAAAUGAAAGUGCACAUCAGCAGGGAAGCCGGCUGCGGAGAACACAGCAGUGCUGCUCAGAAAAGAGGGGAAAAGCACAUGCCCAGGAGGGGCACGUCAGACGUGUGUGUCCGCAUAACGAAGUGUUGUUUGUCACUUCGUAAAGAACAGAUCAUUUAUGUGUGUUAACAACAUGAAUGACCAUGUUAAAAAUAUCGUGCUUGGGGAGCUGAUGGGUCAGUGGUUAAAUGCACUUGUUUCUUCAGAGGACCGGGUUCCGUUCCAAGCACCCACAGGUUGGCUCACAGCCAUCUUUAACUCCAGUUCUAGGUGACUGGACUCUCUUUUGAACUCUGCUGGAACUGGGCAUGAAUGUGGUGUACAGACAUAAAGGCAAAACAUUCUUUUUUUUUUUUUUUUCGGAGCUGGGGACCGAACCCAGGGCCUUGUGCUUGCUAGGCAAGCGCUCUACCACUAAGUUAAAUCCCCAACCCCAAGGCAAAACAUUCUUACAUGUAAAGUUUAAGUUUUCAAAAUGCAUAGGUAUUUUUUAAAUGUCUGUGGGGGGUAUGUGUGUACCACACACAUACACCAAGCUUGGGCCACCUAGAUAGCUUAGUGGAUAAACACUUGUCACCAAGCCCGACAACCGGAGUUCAAUCCCUAGGCCCUGCAUGGUGAAGGAGAGCACUGACUUGCACAAGUCGUCGUCUGAGUUCCACAUGUGCACAAUGGCACACACACACAUCCCUACAGAAACACAAUACACAAAACACAAGUGCAAUGAAAUAACAGGAAAAAAAAACAAAACCCUAAGAUACCCAUUGCUCUGAGGAAAAACAAGCCUAGAAAGGUUCCACCCAGGGCCACUUGGUCCAGUUGCUUUGCUGUGUGGUAACUUCAUGAAAAUCCCAGCUUAAGGCUGAGGAAGACUUUCAACUCAGCCUUUUUUUAGGGAAGCAAGUGGGGAGGGGUAUCGCAACAUCCCCCUCAAAUGCAAAUGACCAAGCUCCUCCCAGUAGGGCAGUGGUAAUUAAAGUCUUCUAGGCGAUCCUAACAUGCAGACAGAGUUGAAAGGUCUUGGAUUGGGUGAAAAGAAUUCUGUGUGCACAACAGCAGGAUGUGUGUAUUUACUGAAGGAACAGCAGGCCACCCGCACAGCUCAGUGUAGCUCUUGCUACCUUUGCCUAGGAUGUAGAGGGCCUUGGAUUCCAUCCCCAGCACCAAAUAAUAAUAAUAAUAAUAAUAAUAAUAAUAAUAAUAAUAAUAAUAAUAAUAAUAAUAAAUGCUGGAGAACACUAAUAAAGUUUCUACACAGAGGGGUUGAUGAAAGUGGUAUAGAAAACUUAAUAAAGAGCUUGAAUCUCCA